rnacentral:lncRNA from 1 species
CAACAACCUCAUUUGAGUUCUUUUCAUUGGAGCAUGGAUCUCUGCUUUGGGACAGCUGAGCUAAUUUCUCUUCAAAUUGAAUACAAGUCUGCCCACACUAGAAAAUAAUGAAGAAUCUUCCAUUUCUCAUUCUACCAUCACUAAGAGCCUAGAAGAUUUGUCCUCUGAAAACAACUAAAAAUAUUAGAGUAGAUGUUACACACAGACACACACUGAUAACUUAACAUGUACAAGAAUAUAACAUAUAUCUCAGAGGCUUAAAAGUAAGUCAGAGGAGAAACCUAAAGCAGAAAUGGAUUUUCAUGUGGAGUAUGUUUUUGCAUUUGCCAAAUCUGGAGAACUUGAACUUGGGUUUUUCAUUUCCUCUUAGGCUAUUCAAAGUGGGUGCAUCAGUAGAAAUGGCCUAGAGCAUGAACUGCAGUGAAACCCAUACUUGUCUAAAAAUGAGGAAAUCCCUGCAUUGGUACUCAGUGGAGGGAAGAAAGGAAUUGUACUAGCCUUCAGGAAAGAAAGUGCAUAUGCAUCCCUGGAACAGUACAUUGUGAAACUAUGGAAUUACCAAAACUACAGAACAAAUACUUCAGGAGCAGAGGCUCAAGUUUUCCUGUAAGUGAAGGCUGGCAUCAGGAGAGAUUGCAAAGCUCAGUGACAUUUGACUCUGCUCUUUUGAUGACUGGAUCAUGGAAUGCAGAAGGCAUGUAUGUAUCAUUAUGUGCAUCUCUGAGUGAUGGGCCAUGGCAUCAUGUCACAUCAUGGGGUGAGCCUCUCUCAUCAUAUCACAUCAUAUCUCAUCAUGCUUGACAUAGACACACAGCUCAAUUCUGAGUAUCUAGAAGUAACCAGGAAGUAAGGCUUCACAGCAAUCUGAGCUGUGCUUUCAGAAAUAGAAAAUAAAGAAGAUUGACUUUUCUAUUUUUUAUUUUCU